rnacentral:lncRNA from 1 species
GCAGGAGCGCUCGGAGUUGUGGGGUACGGACCCCAGGCGGGGCAGGGAGUCCGAGGCGGGCUGCGGCGGGGCUCUCGGGCUGGCGGACUCGGGGGCUGAGGCGCCGUGCGCGUUGGGUGCCCGCGGCCGCAGAGGCCAGAACCGCUACUCCUCCAGGCCGGGGAGACGCGGCCGUGGAGCGUGAAACGCUUCUUGCAAGCGAGGAAACGGUGAGUUGGCCGACACCGCCGGCGGCCUCACCAUUCUGGUGGCCGCGCUGAGCUCCUGUCGCCUGGAGGCGGGUUGCGCCGCACGGGGUCAGCUCCCGCCGGCUCCCAGCUCACCUUCGAAGCUCCCACUUAGGCGCGCCCGGUGCGGCGUGUGCACAGCGCGGGGCGCCGCACACGGAAGCGUGUAGUUCUCCCUGGUCGCGCUUUUCUCCUCCUUUCCAUCCCCUCGCUGUUCUUGCAAACCUCUGUUCCUUCGGCCCCCUCCCACUGCGGGCCGCGGCCUGAACUCGGGUCUCCGCGUAGCCGGCCGCCGCCGCUGGGUCGCUGCCUGGCCCUCCCCCGCUCAGGCGCCGAGCGCUGUGCGAUCCGCCCUAACAUCUGUCCGUCCAACCAUUGGCGCAUCCAUCAGUGUCAAUGGGCUGCACAUUGCAGCGACAGCCCGCCACGCACAACACGGGCUAUGCGGAGUGCACGCAGCAACCAUACUGCCAUGUCGGGACACGCAAAAAGGCCCCCGGCCUGGCUUGGCACAGCCUGAAGGCCUAAUCUGUGUUCUUUCAGCCACAUGUACCCACCCCCACUUAAUAUCUGGACCCCCAAACAUGAAUAGUUUUGCAGACCAUUGUAGGGAUGGAAUUGAAGGAAGAGGGGCAGUGUCGCCCGAGUCAUUAUUUUCCACCAGGUUUUCUCUGCCCUUGUGUGGGCUGGGUGUGGCUAGGAGAGAAGGAAGGGAGACUUCCCAAAUCCGCACCAAGCACACUGCAGAACCGGAAGCUACCUGGAUGCAAGGGCUUAAACCCCCUUCACCUGGGCCUAGGAUGUGUUGUCGAGGUCGCUGGCCAGGUUUUAGCCAGGAGGUCUCGCGCUAAAACUUUUUGGCCCCGCCUGGCUGCUGUGUGUGACAUGGCCUGAUGGAGAGGAGCUGGAGAGCGGAGGAAAACGUGGAUCCCAGUGAGAACUAAGGGCCAGAUUUAGGGAGAAAUAGUGUCUGGAUGGCAGUAAGUCUGUAAUUCACAUUUUGUUUACAAAGGGAGAAAGGGCAGGGCUGUAGGUUUGAGAAGCCAGAGGUUUGCGCGGAGUUCCGUGUGCCCAUUCCCCGAGAGUGCCGCUCUUGGCUGUAGUUGUUUGUUCUACCUGAUUUUGCCUCUUGCCUUCAACUCCCCCAUAACCCCUCCCCAAAUGUCCAGAGGGCAAACAUAUGCGCAUACCUCCCUGAUCAAUCCAGCCAGACCAAAGGGCCUUCCCUGUCCUCCCCCUAAGAACUUAAUGGGAAGAGUGUACGGGGGACCUACUCUUGGGACAUCUGCAGGGCGGCUGUACCAGGCGUUUUACCUGACUUUAUUCUUACCGCAAAGAUUUCCGUCUCGGUACCUGGUGCCCCCUCAGAGUCCACUACACAAACGGGUAAAAUCCCGCGCGGCUAUUCAUUUCGCCAUUCGCGAGUAAGAAGGGGAAAAGGAGCCGCUUCUAGGAGAGCACUGAGGUAUGCUCGGUUCGGUUCCCGAGGAGGCCAGAAGCGGCCGCGGCGGCGCGGGCUGGAGCUCCCUCCUGCAGGGAGACACCGCGCUCUAGGGUGCGGGCUUCGCCGCCCACAUCCAGUGGUCGAACUGUUUUCACGCUAGACUAGAGGGCGGAAAAGUCUGCGCCCGCGGAGAAACUAGAAUUCUGUAGAAUGUACACUGUGUAGAAAUCUUUUCACCCCACUCUUCAGAGUUGCAGAUUAUCUUUGAAAAACAACAGGCUCUGGCCCUGCCAGCCCUAGUAACUUCUACCCGCCUGAGUCACUCUGAAAAGUAAGCCCCUAGGCCAGUGAGAUGUCCCCACCUUUGGGAGGUGCCGCCUUUCCGGGAACAUUAAAAAAAAAACCCUAAAAAUAGAAGGAGGAAAAAUGAGCAAAGGCGGUGGGACGACUCACCGAAACACCGAGGUGCAAAUGUCCAUUGGAGAAACUGGCAGUCGCAUGGCAGCCAGCUGGCUCACCCAAUAGCUGGGUGGUAACCUUGUGAUCCCCAAACAUCCCCCAGGGCCAUGAAGGCAGUGCUGACCCCCACGAUUGCACCUCAGGCCCGGUGGAAUCCCGCUCCUCCUCCAUAGUGGUGCUAUGUAAUCAGUAGAAAAUCAGUAGAAAAGCUCCCAAAUGAAGCUGCUUCAGGUCAGGGGUUAGAAAUCUGCCUCAGACUUUUUGAACUCAAGGAAAUCGGGACAUCUGUCCCCAGAGCUACCUGUGCCCCACCCCAGGAUCAUUCAUGACCUUAGCUACCGGGAGCUCUGCCCGGAUAAGUUUUUAAAAGAGAGAGAGAAAGAAAAAAGUCACAUGCAGGCAAGGCUAGGAACAGGUGUGUGCUGUGGGGACGGGCACUUGGCUCGCAACACACCACACAAAGUCACGAAGUCUGUGCCAGAAAGGAGUAGCCAAACCACCGCCGGGAGGCAGCCGAGGUUGUGUUUAAGGUGGCGAUUGAGGGCAGUAGGUGACAACUCGACCCAAAGAAGGCCAAGUCUUGUCCUUAUCUGGGGUGGCCACUGAGGGAAAAGACUUAAGGGAAAGAAGUUGUCUUCAAAGCUACCAUUACAAGAUGAGGAGCUAGAGUGGGCUCAGGUCCCAGGCACCCAGGGCUUAAGCCUUGAUGUUGGAGAGGUUCUCGGAGGGAGGCUUGGGCCACCUGGAGGGACUGGGCACUCUGAGUAGUACCCUCUGGGAGGCUGUACCCCCUUUCAAAGUGUGAGGGCAUUUGCCCAAGGUGUAGGCUUUUAGGGAGCCCAGGGCUGGGCAGCACCAGGGGAGAGAGGCACCAGGUGGGUGCCCUCCUGCCUGCACUCACCUGGAAUGCUGGCAUAUGGGUUUUUCGCCUUCCUCACGCCUCCCCACACCACAUUCUGGGCUAGGCAGUGUCGAGGAGGUGCCUUGGGUUCAGGGAAGCUUGCCACCUGCACACCUGAACCAGGAAUUGGGCCCCGGAAUCUCAGCCCCUGCCCAAGCAGGAAGGAUAGGGACCCUGGCCCUCGCCAGGUGGUAAAUUGUUUGCUAAAAGUGCAUUUACACGGCGGCGAAGUUUGUUUCUCUUUUACCGGUAGCUUUGUUUUAACGAACCAGAUGUUUUGUCUGUAAAUUCUCCCAAGAACUUUUCCAGUUUUGACGUGAAAUAAACCUUCGAAAAUCAGAAGAGUAUAUUAAUACCACUUCUGUGGGGCCUCAGGAGAGCUGAGUCAGGUGUGCCUGGAUGGGAGCUG